rnacentral:rRNA from 1 species
GACGAACGCUGGCGGCGUGCUUAACACAUGCAAGUCGAACGCUGAAGCUUGGUGCUUGCACUGGGUGGAUGAGUGGCGAACGGGUGAGUAAUACGUGAGUAACCUGCCCUUGACUCUGGGAUAAGCCUGGGAAACUGGGUCUAAUACUGGAUACGACAUGCCACUGCAUGGUGGUGUGUGGAAAGGGUUUUACUGGUUUUGGAUGGGCUCACGGCCUAUCAGCUUGUUGGUGGGGUAAUGGCCUACCAAGGCGACGACGGGUAGCCGGCCUGAGAGGGUGACCGGCCACACUGGGACUGAGACACGGCCCAGACUCCUACGGGAGGCAGCAGUGGGGAAUAUUGCACAAUGGGCGGAAGCCUGAUGCAGCGACGCCGCGUGAGGGAUGACGGCCUUCGGGUUGUAAACCUCUUUCAGCAGGGAAGAAGCGAGAGUGACGGUACGUGCAGAAGAAGCGCCGGCUAACUACGUG